UGGUGGAGUGAUUUGUCUGGUUAAUUCCGUUAACGAACGAGACCUCGACCUGCUAAAUAGUUUUGCGGUUUUGAAACCGUAUUAACUUCUUAGAGGGACUCUCGGUGUGUAGCCGAUGGAAGUUCGAGGCAAUAACA
rnacentral:rRNA from 1 species